AUGGAGAGUGCAUGCUUUGGAUUCAAGACUGGGAAUGAGGGACCAGAAACCUGUUCUGUGGCUGUUUGUUGUUAGGACUUUCCUAAGCCUCUGGAAAAGUGCAAAGUACAAUUAACAUUUGAGUCUGUCUGAGUCAUGAAGAAAUGGAGAUUACUGAAAAUAAUUCAUUUUGGUAUCGUCUUACAUCCUGAGAGACUAAUCUUUCCAAGUUCAUCUGAGGCUCCUCUUCUCCAUGACAACCUCAUCCAGGGAUUUCUUCCUGUCCUGGUGUUUUAUGACAUCAUCCUCAUCUCUCCUGUAAGGAUAAUAGCCUUCCUCCAAACCUCACACACUUUUGGAGGAGAUCACUUUUUUUUAAAGUGCAUUGGAAAUGUUUUGAAAACAGUGAAAUCUUAUAAUGAUAGGUUUCAUAAUUCUAACAUCCACACCAUAUGAAUCACAUCCUUCCUGAGAUAAUGAGCACACAAUUGCCUGGAUACCUGAAGGAAUGGAGACAGUGGCAGAAAACACUGCAGAGAGGUGGAAACAUCCGUUAAUAUUUUAAAUCCAUUACUGCUACCAACAAUAAUAACAGAUGCAUAGAAAUAGAUCUGGAUUAGCUGAGCUUGAAACAGUCCAUCUCACACACACCAAAAGAAUCAGAUACAGUGAACCCACAUGUUGAAGCUUUCUAGUAUAAUAAAAAUUUCAACUGUUCUGUUGAAUCAUCUGUCCUGAUUGGAGCUACAGAAAAGUUCAUCUUAGGAGUGCUUGCUCUGAGUGAGGCUCGUCUUCAAAUCUGAAUGACCACAAGGAGAUUUGAUUAUACAUGUGAACACCUCAGAAGGCACAGCCCGCCCAGAAGGCAGACAG
rnacentral:lncRNA from 1 species